rnacentral:rRNA from 1 species
AGAAUCAACGCUGGCGGCGUGCCUAACACAUGCAAGUCGAACGGGAAAGUGGAGCAAUCCAUGAGUAUAGUGGCGACCGGGUGAGUAACACGUGACUAACCUACCUUCAAGUGGGGGAUAACCUCGGGAAACCGGGGCUAAUACCGCAUAAUAUCUCUGUCAUGAGAAAGCAGAGAUCAAAGGAGCAAUUCGCUGGAAGAGGGGGUCGCGGCUGAUUAGCUAGUUGGUGGGUAAUGGCCCACCAAGGCUUUGAUCGGUAGCCGGCCUGAGAGGGGCGCGACGGACGACGACUGGAACUGAAACACGGUCCAGACUCCUACGGGAGGCAGCAGUGGGGAAUUUUGCGCAAUGGGGGAAACCCUGACGCAGCAACGCCGCGUGGAGGAUGAAGUCCCUUGGGACGUAAACUCCUUUCGAUCGGGACGAUAAUGACGGUACCGAGAGAAGAAGCCCGGCUAACUUCGUGCCAGCAGCCGC